rnacentral:misc_RNA from 1 species
CCAAUAGCGUAUAUUAAAGUUGUUGUGGUUAAAAAGCUCGUAGUUGAACCUUGGGCCUGGCUGGCCGGUCCGCCUCACCGCGUGUACUGGUCCGGCCGGGCCUUUCCCUCUGUGGAACCUCAUGCCCUUCACUGGGUGUGACGGGGAAGCAGGACUUUUACUGUGAAAAAAUUAGAGUGCUCCAAGCAGGCCUAUGCUCGAAUACAUUAGCAUGGAAUAAUAAAAUAGGACGUGCGGUUCUAUUUUUUUGGUUUCUAGGACCGCCGUAAUGAUUAAUAGGGACAGUCGGGGGCAUCAGUAUUCAAUUGUCAGAGGUGAAAUUCUUGGAUUUAUUGAAGACGAACUACUGCGAAAGCAUUCGCCAAGGAUGUUUUCAUUAAUCAGUGAACGAAAGUUAGGGGAUCGAAGACGAUCAGAUACCGUCGUAGUCUUAACCAUAAACCAUGCCGACUAGGGAUCGGGCGAUGUUAUUGUAUUGACUCGCUCGGCACCUUUCG